AGCGAACGCUGGCGGCAGGCCUAAAACAUGCAAGUCGAACGGAUCCUUCGGGAUUAGUGGCGGACGGGUGAGUAACACGUGGGAACGUGCCUUUAGGUUCGGAACAACUCAGGGAAACUUGAGCUAAUACCGAAUGUGCCCUUCGGGGAAAGAUUUAUCGCCUUUAGAGCGGCCCGCGUCUGAUUAGCUUGUUGGUGAGGUAAAGGCUCACCAAGGCGACGAUCAGUAGCUGGUCUGAGAGGAUGAUCAGCCACACUGGGACUGAGACACGGCCCAGACUCCUACGGGAGGCAGCAGUUAGGAAUCUUGCGCAAUGGGGGAAACCCUGACGCAGCCAUGCCGCGUGAAUGAUGAAGGUCUUAGGAUUGUAAAAUUCUUUCAGCGGGGACGAUAAUGACGGUA
rnacentral:rRNA from 1 species